AGAUGGCACUACUGCUCAUAGUGAGGCUGCUGGAGUUUGACUAACACAUCAAUAUGGAUCUUAAGGAGCCCUUGUAGUGGAUGUUGGCGAUAGUUGGUCCAUUGUAGGAGUGGGAUAUGUAUCAAGAUGGGAUCUAUCAACCCUAAUAGAAAGGAGUAAUCCUAUGAGAUUUAAGAGGCUGAGUUCUUAAGUCUAUGGCCAUAGCAGUGUGAUUAAUG
rnacentral:lncRNA from 1 species